GUCGGAAUUGCUAGUAAUCGCAGAUCAGCAUGCUGCGGUGAAUACGUUCCCGGGCCUUGUACACACCGCCCGUCACACCAUGGGAGUCGGUAACACCCAAAGUUGGUAGCCUAACCGCAAGGAGGGCGCCGCCUAAGGUGGGAUUGAUGACUGGGGUGAAGUCGUAACAAGGUAGC
rnacentral:rRNA from 1 species